rnacentral:pre_miRNA from 1 species
AGUGGGAUAGCUAGAUCAAAUGAUGAUUCCAUCCAAGUUUUCUAAGGAGUCUCCAUACUUCUUUCCAGAUUGGUUGCACCAAUUUGCAGUCCUACCAGCAAU